GGGCACCACCAGGAGUGGAGCCUGCGGCUUAAUUUGACUCAACACGGGAAAACUCACCCGGCCCGGACACUAGGAGGAUUGACAGACUGACUAGCUCUUUCUUGAUUCAGUGGGUGGUGGUGCAUGGCCGUUCUUAGUUGGUGGAGCGAUUUGUCUGGUUAAUUCCGAUAACGAACGAGACUCUAGCCUACUAGUUAGCCGGCCCGGUCGUUAUGCGCCCGGGCAGCGAGCUUCUUAGAGGGACAGACGGCGAGUAAGCCGUACGAGAUAGAGCAAUAACAGGUCUGUGAUGCCCUUAGAUGUCCGGGGCCGCACGCGCGCUACACUGAAGUGAUCAGCACGCUAGCAAGCCCGCUCCGAGAGGAGCGGGUAACCGUUUGAACCCCCUUCAUGAUAGGGAUUGAGCUUUGUAACUAUUGCUCAUGAACGAGGAAUUCCMGKAGGCGUGAGUCAUUACCUUACGCCGAUUACGUCCCUGCCCUUUGUACACACCGCCCGUCGCUACUACCGAUUGAAUGG
rnacentral:rRNA from 1 species